rnacentral:tRNA from 1 species
GGGAUUAUAGCAUAAUUGGUAAAUGCCCUCUGCUCAUAACAGAGCUUAUCUCAGAUCAUACCUGAGUGGUCCCACCA